UACGUAGGGUGCAAGCGUUGUCCGGAAUUAUUGGGCGUAAAGAGCUCGUAGGCGGUCUGUCGCGUCGGUCGUGAAAACUUGGGGCUUAACCCUGAGCUUGCGGUGGAUACGGGCAGACUUGAGUUCGGUAGGGGAGACUGGAAUUCCUGGUGUAGCGGUGAAAUGCGCAGAUAUCAGGAGGAACACCGGUGGCGAAGGCGGGUCUCUGGGCCGAUACUGACGCUGAGGAGCGAAAGCGUGGGGAGCAAACAGG
rnacentral:rRNA from 1 species